rnacentral:pre_miRNA from 1 species
AAAAGUUAAGUCAAAUUUGUAUGGAGUUGGAAUGUUUGCCUAUGUUUGCCCCGGGGGUCAUUGUUCCAGCUGCAUACAAAUUUCAGGUAACCUUU